AGUGGGGAAUAUUGGACAAUGGGCGCAAGCCUGAUCCAGCCAUGCCGCGUGUGUGAAGAAGGCCUUCGGGUUGUAAAGCACUUUCAGCGAGGAGGAAAGCAGCUAGCUUAAUACGUUAGUUGUGUGACGUUACUCGCAGAAGAAGCACCGGCUAACUCCGUGCCAGCAGCCGCGGUAAUACGGAGGGUGCGAGCGUUAAUCGGAAUUACUGGGCGUAAAGGGCACGCAGGCGGUUGUUUAAGUCAGAUGUGAAAGCCCCGGGCUCAACCUGGGAACUGCAUUUGAAACUGAACAACUAGAGUACGAGAGAGGUGGGUAGAAUUUCAGGUGUAGCGGUGAAAUGCGUAGAGAUCUGAAGGAAUACCAAUGGCGAAGGCAGCCCACUGGCUCGAUACUGACGCUCAUGUGCGAAAGCGUGGGGAGCAAA
rnacentral:rRNA from 1 species